GAAUAUUGCGCAAUGGGGGAAACCCUGACGCAGCAACGCCGCGUGAAGGAUGAAGGUUUUCGGAUCGUAAACUUCUUUGAUGAGGGACGAAGAAUGACGGUACCUCAAAAACAAGCCACGGCUAACUACGUGCCAGCAGCCGCGGUAAUACGUAGGUGGCGAGCGUUGUCCGGACUUACUGGGUGUAAAGGGCGUGUAGGCGGGGAUACAAGUCAGAUGUGAAAUACCGUGGCUUAACCACGGGGGUGCAUCUGAAACUGUAUUUCUUGAAUAUCGGAGAAGAAAGUGGGAUUCCCAGUGUAGCGGUGAAAAGCGUAGAUAUUGGGAGGAACACCAGUGGCGAAGGAGACUUUCUGAACAAUAACUGACGCUGAGGCGCAAAAGCGUGGGGAGC
rnacentral:rRNA from 1 species